rnacentral:misc_RNA from 1 species
CUCCUUUUUUUAUUAACAGUUUGAAGGUGGUUAUGUUCCUUAUUUUUUUUGUUUUCAAUUUCAAAAAGCCUAAAGGCUCCGGACGGAAAUGCUUUUCCCUUAUCAAAAGUCUUGUGAUAUACGUAAAAAUGAAUAUCUUUGAGCAAGGAAUAAUCAUUUGAGUGAUUCACAAUCAAUAUCAUUACACGUACUAAAACUUAAAUAAACUUAGAGACAAAGUCCUUCUUUUUGAAGACCAAAGAAAUUGCGGUACCUAGAUAAGACUUUGUUAUACUUUUCGUCCUUUUAAUUGACAUAGACCCGAGUUCUCUAUUAAAAUGAGUAGAUGAUGCCCCAGAAGGGGGAAUGGUCGGGAUAGCUCAGCUGGUAGAGCAGAGGACUGAAAAUCCUCGUGUC